CUCCGGACAGCUCAUUUCCAUGAGUGCCGCCACAUACAGCCAUACCACCCAGAGCUGGCAGGAACACAGAUGCCAUCUAAAACAGACAAGACGGUAGAGAGAAUUGACAAGAAAGUGUGGGGAGCAGAGAGAGGGGAAGGAUCGGCAUAGGACCUCGAGGAGGGACUCGAACCUGGGUUGCCGCGAACACCGGAGUGUAACAAUGAUCAUUACCUGAAGCUGAGGAUGAACAGCAGCGGUGAGAUUUCGAGUCUCGGGAUCUCUGGGAUAAUCCACACUUUUGA